rnacentral:rRNA from 1 species
AGACCCGAAACCCGGUGAUCUAGCCAUGGGCAGGUUGAAGGUUGGGUAACACUAACUGGAGGACCGAACCGACUAAUGUUGAAAAAUUAGCGGAUGACCUGUGGCUGGGGGUGAAAGGCCAAUCAAACCGGGAGAUAGCUGGUUCUCCCCGAAAGCUAUUUAGGUAGCGCCUCGUGAAUUCAUCUCCGGGGGUAGAGCACUGUUUCGGCUAGGGGGCCAUCCCGGCUUACCAACCCGAUGCAAACUGCGAAUACCGGAGAAUGUUAUCACGGGAGACACACGGCGGGUGCUAACGUCCGUCGUGAAGAGGGAAACAACCCAGACCGCCAGCUAAGGUCCCAAAGUCAUGGUUAAGUGGGAAACGAUGUGGGAAGGCCCAGACAGCCAGGAUGUUGGCUUAGAAGCAGCCAUCAUUUAAAGAAAGCGUAAUAGCUCACUGGUCGAGUCGGCCUGCGCGGAAGAUGUAACGGGGCUAAACCAUGCACCGAAGCUGCGGCAGCGACACUGUGUGUUGUUGGGUAGGGGAGCGUUCUGUAAGCCUGUGAAGGUGGCCUGUGAGGGUUGCUGGAGGUAUCAGAAGUGCGAAUGCUGACAUAAGUAACGAUAAAGCGGGUGAAAAGCCCGCUCGCCGGAAGACCAAGGGUUCCUGUCCAACGUUAAUCGGGGCAGGGUGAGUCGACCCCUAAGGCGAGGCCGAAAGGCGUAGUCGAUGGGAAACAGGUUAAUAUUCCUGUACUUGGUGUUACUGCGAAGGGGGGACGGAGAAGGCUA